rnacentral:rRNA from 1 species
CAUGCCGUAAACGAUGAGUGCUAAGUGUUAGGGGGUAUCGACCCCCCCUGUGCCGCAGUAAACACAAUAAGUACUCCGCCUGGGAAGUACGAUCGCAAGAUUAAAACUCAAAGGAAUUGACGGGGACCCGCACAAGCAGCGGAGCAUGUGGUUUAAUUCGAAGCAACGCGAAGAACCUUACCUGGACUUGACAUCCCCUGAAUAACUCGUAAUGGAGGAAGCCCUUCGGGGCAGGGAGACAGGUGG